rnacentral:rRNA from 1 species
CCUACGGGCGGCUGCAGUGGGGAAUAUUGGACAAUGGGGGCAACCCUGACCCAGCCAUGCCGCGUGUGUGAAGAAGGCCCUCGGGUUGUAAAGCACUUUCAGUGAGGAAGAACGCCUGGUGGUUAAUACCCAUCAGGAAAGACAUCACUCACAGAAGAAGCACCGGCUAACUCCGUGCCAGCAGCCGCGGUAAUACGGAGGGUGCGAGCGUUAAUCGGAAUUACUGGGCGUAAAGCGCGCGUAGGUGGCUUGAUAAGCCGGUUGUGAAAGCCCCGGGCUCAACCUGGGAACGGCAUCCGGAACUGUCAAGCUAGAGUGCAGGAGAGGAAGGUAGAAUUCCCGGUGUAGCGGUGAAAUGCGUAGAGAUCGGGAGGAAUACCAGUGGCGAAGGCGGCCUUCUGGACUGACACUGACACUGAGGUGCGAAAGCGUGGGUAGCAAACAGGAUUAGAUACCCUGGUAGUC